rnacentral:sRNA from 1 species
ACGAGGUGCCUUGCUGAUUGUACGUGCUGGAAGCGUCAGAACUCCCAUCAUCGCAGGUCAGCAGGCACCUCUUCUCGUUCCACAUCCACAGGACGCAAGUCACUCGGUGGAUCGAG